UAGGGCCCAACAGCAAAGCACUCCCGAACUGAAUUACAUACAAUCUGAGGGACUGAGGUAGACAAAAAAGUCAGAUGAGUGUGUGGGAUGCUUCCGUGAAGAGACCAGAGGGAGCCAAGCACCUCUUUCUCACUAUUCCUAUGUGGUACUACGAAAACCAAGCUUCCUCCAUUACUUAAGUGAAAUAAGGAAAAUUGAGGAAUGGAGAUAGUACCUGUAAGCUAUUUGAGAUUCUUUCCAUAGCUGAGCAUGGUUAUGCAUGCCUUUAAUUCCAGCACUUGGGGGACAGAGGCAGACUGAUCUCUGUGAGUUUGAGGCCAACCUGGUCUACAUAGUGAAUGAAUGCAGGAUUAUGUAGAAAGUGUAAAGACCCUGUCAAAAAAAAAAAUAACCUUUCCAUGAAAAUGUUACCUGAGCUUCAGAUAACUGUCUUAGUCAGUGUUCUAUUGCUCUGAAGACACACUAUAUGACCACAGCAAUUCUUAUAGAAGAAAACAUUUAUUUGGGGUUAGCUUACAGUUUCCAAGGUCUAAUCCAUUAUCAUGGUGGGGAGCAUGGCAACAUGCAGGCAGACAUAUUCCUAGAGAAGUAGUUGAGAGUUCUACAUCUGGAUCUAGAGGCAGCAGAAAAAGAUUGACUUGGGCUUCUAAAACCCCAAAGCACAUCCAUAUUGACUCACUUCCUUCAACAAGGCCACAUCUACUCCAAGGCCACACCUUCUAAUCCCUCUUGAGUAGUGUCACUCCCUGAUGACCAAGCACUCAAAUACAUGAGCCUGAGUGAUGGGGGUGGGGAAUUCAUAUUCAAACAACCACAUUCCAUUCCCUGGCCCCCAUAGGCUUGGGGCCAUAUCAUAAUGCAAAAAACAAAAAAUGCAUUCAGUCCAACUUCAAAAGUCCCCAUAGUCUGCAACAGCCUUAACACUGUUUCAAAGUCCAAAGUUCAAAGUCUCUUGGGAGAUAGUCACAAGGAGAAAAAUUGUAACCCACCUGUGAAAUCAAAAUUAAAAAAAACAGACCACAUACUUUCAACAUACAAUGGCGCAUGAUAUAUGUUACCAUCCCAAAAACAGGGACAAAGAGCAUGGUGAGGAAAUUCUGGACCAGAGAAAGACUGACAACUAGCAGGGUCAACACCAAACUGUAUCUCCGUGUCUGAUGUCCAAGUACCCUUCAGAUCUCCAACUCCUUCCAACUGUGUUGACUGCCACAUCCUCUUCCUCUCUCCCUCCCUCUCCCUGUUCUCCUCUCCCUCUUCUCCUCUCCCUCUACCCUCCCCUCCCUCCCUCUCCCUCCCCCUUCCCUCUCUUUACCUCUCUCUCUCUCUGUCCCUCCCUCUCCUUCCCUCUCCCUCUCCCUCUCCCUCCCCCUCCCCUCCCCUUUCCCUUCUCCUUCCCUCCCCCUACCUCAUCUCUCUGUCUCUCUGUCUCUCUCUCUCUCCCUGUCCCUCCCUCCCUCUCCUUCCCUCUCCCUCCCCCUCCCCUUUCCCUUCUCCUUCCCUCCCCCUACCUCAUCUCUCUGUCUCUGUCUCUUCCUCUCUCCCUCCCUCUCCCUCUUCCCCUCUCCCUCUGCCCUCCCCUCCUUCCCUCCCCCAGCCCCCUUCCCUCCCUUUACCUCUCUCUCUCUCCCUCCCUCCCUCUGCCCUCCCCUCCUUCCCUCCCCCUCCCCCUUCCCUCCCUUUACCUCUCUCUCUCUGUCCCUCCCUCCCUCUCCUUCCCUCUCCCUCCCCCUCCCCUUUCCCUUCUCCUUCCCUCCCCCUACCUCAUCUCUCUGUCUCUGUCUCUGUCUCUCUCCCUCUCCCCCCUCCACGCCUCUCAGGAUGAUCCCACACUGGGUUUACAGUUCUCCUCAGCAAGUGUCUCACAAUUCUGCAUCUCCAACACCUUUAGGUCUUUUAACACAAUCCAGGCUUCACCUCCACAGCUUCACAUAAUGGCCUCUCUGGGGAAUUCAGGACACCCCAAAACACAGCUGGCCUCAGUGGCUUUCCUGUCAACUCCAAACUCAGAACCACCUGGCUCAAGCUACCACAUAGUAAGUAUGGUAGUUAGACGUUGUGUGCAGCCCAUAUCAUGAGGGUUGGCAUGCUGACCCCUGGGAGUUUGAGGCCAACCUGGUCUACUUAGUGAACGAAUGCAGGAAUAAGUAGAAAGGGUGGAAACCCUGUCUAAAAAAAAACUGGCGAGGAAGACAGAUCCAGUGAGACAAUAUCAAUGGACUAGGAGAGCUUCGACAAACUUUUACCUAAUGUUUAAACAGGAGUAGAGUCUGUGUAUUCCAAACUGUGAUUGAUAGAGAUGUGCUGAGUUGUGGGCACUUGAUGUUAUUUUCUCAUUAAAUACUAAGUCGCUCAACGUUGUGAUGGGAAACCCCUUCUUUCGGAAUCAAGAACAGAUAUUUGAUACUGCUGGCUUUUGACUUAGUAAACAAUUCAGGCUUAGCUCUUGGAGUAUCCACUUCCCUAAAGGGCUCAGCUCAGACUCUGUGUACUUCCUACAAACCCACACCACCCAGAGCCUUUGGCUCAGUCAAGGGAGGCCAAUGAAGGGUAAAAGUCAACUGGGGCCUUCAGUAAAACCACUGGAAAGGAGACACUGGCAGCCAUGAGCAGCUGCCAGUGCAAAGAACCUCAUUCCUCACUCCUCACUCAAAGAAACAAACUCACCUCAUCAUACAACCCCCUAGCCCCCAAAUACAAAUUUGUUAACAUGACAACCUUAAAAAAGUGAAAGAAACGUUUUGGUCCCUUUUCAAAAAAGGGAACCACAGAACUGGGUAUGGUAGCAUUGGGUAGACUGUGGCAGGAAGAACAUGAAUUUGAGGCCAAGCUGGGCUAUACAGGGAGAGGGAUUUUUCUGUUUUGUUUUUCCUUUAAGAAAACUGUAGAAGAUGAAGAAGGUGUUGGGGAGAAAGAGGGAGGAAAAGAAAGAGGUGGAAGAGGAAAAAGAAGAAAUCAAACAUGAAUUCCAACAGUCAUGGUCUUAGCAGAUUAAAAAAAGUAUUUUUGCAACUUUGGUCAUACUCUUAAUCAUACUCUUCCUGUUUUCCCUUCUUAGCACAUUUGUAAAAGCAGCACAUGCUAGGCCGUGCAGUUCUCAGAGCUGAUGAACAGUUGACUGCCUAGGAUUUGACUUUGAAUUAAAAAAAGAAGAAGAAGCAGCAGCAAAAUCUGAAGUAACUUUGCGAAAUAAUCUCAUUUAAAAACUGCUUUUAAAGUUCUCAUAGGAAUGAACAACUGUAAGGCACAGUUAGAAAAGAGGGCCUAGUGUAUUUCCUGCAUGUCCUCUGGGGAUCUUCAGAAGACUCUACAAACUGAAAUUAUAGAAACAAGUGAGUGCAUUUCUGUUGGCUUUUACCCAAGUUGAGGCCUUAGACCCAUUCUGGGCCUUCUGCCUCUUGUCAAGAAGUGUAGCUAACAGAGAUUCCUGGAACGAUAUUGUAACUAUCUGAACUGAGAUAAGCAAAGGCCAGUAACUAGGGCUCAAGUAUUCCUCAGGCCCUGAGGCAACAGGAACUCUCUGAUGCGCACUCCUGUCUGCUGACCACGUGCUCAUCUUCAGUUUUAAGAUCCAUUAUUUUUAACUCGUUGCCAAGGUUAAGCAGUUGUGACUGAGAUGAGAUUCUAAAGUCGAUCUAGAUGCUUAUGUAAAGUCUCAUUCUGAAUCAAUCAAGCCCGACAGUUCUAGGAAACAGAAGACUGCUCUCUACCAUCCUGAAUUUUAACCUGUAUUUUCUCUGUCAGUGUUAUAAGUAACCCCUUCUUAUAUAUUCAUGGUAUAAAGUAAAGGUUUCUAUGUCAUUUCUGUCCUUGUGUUAAUGCACUUUGACCAUAUCCACUGCUUUAUUAGUCUUUCUCUUUGUAUUUUUUUUUUCCACAUGAUCUUCAAGUUAAUUUUGAAGAUUAAAGUGUUCAGAGUGGUGGAGCAGGAUCAGGAUGCUAGCAUUCACUGAGGCUAAGGCAGAAGGAUCUUGAGUUGGGCUAGCCUGAGCUACAUGACAAAGCCCUGUCUAAAAAUAAAACCGUUAACCACAGAGAUUUGAGAGCAGAAACUCCAAUGAUUAUGUUAUUUUAUUCACGGAUUUAUUUGACACAAUCAGUUGGCAAUGUCUUAUCUUGCACCUGCCUUGAGACUGCUCCAUCGUGUCUGUCUCUUCUUCCAAGAAGAAAUAAUAAACGUUGAUCAUUAACCAACGGAAAUUACAUCCCUUACUGGAAUCUGCCUCGCUUAAAUGCAGACUUCCUGGCCCAGCCUUGGUUUCCCAUCAGAAUUUGAAAAAAAAAAAGCCCUCCAGUAGACUGGCAAAACAGUGCAGAAGCCGCAAGAGUCUACAUCAUUUUAUUGUCAGAGAAAAAAAGACCUGCCUCCCCUGAAAUUAAGGACAGAGUCCAGACAAAUAAACGGUUUCCCUGGAAUGACUGUGAGAAUUGGUAUGCGGGCUCCCAAGCAGGGAGGACAACUAGAACAUCCUUGGCAACAUCUUCAGUCACUCUGUUCUCUUCCCUCUGUUCUCGCUCCAUUGCUCUUCUCCCAAAACAGACUUCCACUCCUAUCUCUCUUCACACCUGCCUAUUCCCAUCCCAACCUCCUUGAACUUCGGAAAUUAGUGUCCGGGUAUCCACCGGGUCCUCUGAAGGACCCCCACGGAACUGUUGCCCCUGUCACCACCCAACACUAGGUGUUGGGCAAAGAAAGGCUGGUUAGCCAGAAGUGACGGGUGAGGAAGCUACUGGACGGCUGUGCGCAGGGUGGCAACAUCCCGAGGAGAAGAGACAAGGCCCAAGAGUCCUGAUCUAGCUGUGGCCACUGGAAGACUCUCAG